CCAAAGCAAUAGGUAGAGCAAGUCAUUCAUUCACAAAAACUGAUAAGCAGAAAUGGAGCAAGCAGUAAGUAGAACCUAUGAUUAUCAGGGCCAGUAUGUACAUGUGGAAAAGCUGAUUAAGACUCAUGAGCUGUGUUUACAUUUAAUUCAACAUAUUCUCUGUUACUCCCCGUGUAGCCACAUGUAAGCAGCUUUUUCUACCAAAGGAGAUUAUAAUGCUAUUUUACCCGACGCUAAUUUUCAGAGCAUGACAUCUAAGACAUAUAUUGUUUUAUGAUUGACAUCAAAGACCUCUCCAUCUUUGGGCUCAUAAAAAGGAUGAUCUUUUCUCCUUCCCCUGUCUUUGCCCAAGUACUUGUCUUUCUGCGACCAAUAACUGAGAGACAGAAAGAAAACAUACUGGAUGUCCAUUUGCACCCGUGGAACGUUCCACUAUCAGAGAUCGAAUGAAUGGAGCCGUUGAACUUUCUAACGACUGAAGAGUUGCUGUUUUUUCUCCACCGGAAAAAGACGGAGAUUUCGUGCAUCGAGCAACCGCACAGAUUCCUCAGUCAGCUGCGAGACCACGAUCUGGUGCCGGAGAAACUUUUUGAGAAUGUGAAAAAGAUGCGUUCUCGUGAGCAGAAGGAGAAGGGCGUCUAUGAGGUUCUGGACUGGGUGGAGAAAAAUAAACCACAGUACAUACAUCAGUUCUGGCGC